rnacentral:rRNA from 1 species
CGCGUGGGGGAGGAAGGCUCUAGGGUUGUAAACCUCUUUUCUUUGGGAAGAAGAUCUGACGGUACCAAAGGAAUAAGCCACGGCUAAUUCCGUGCCAGCAGCCGCGGUAAUACGGAGGAGCAAGCGUUAUCCGGAAUUAUUGGGCGUAAAGCGUCCGCAGAUGGCCAUGUAAGUCUGCUGUCAAAACCCAGGGCUCAACUCUGGUCAGGCAGUGGAAACUACAAAGCUUGAGUGUGGUAGGGGCAGAGGGAAUUCCCGGUGUAGCGGUGAAAUGCGUAGAUAUCGGGAAGAACACCAGUGGCGAAAGCGCUUUGCUAGACCAAAACUGACAUUGAUGGACGAAAGCCAGGGGAGCGAAAGGGAUUAGAUACCCCAGUAGU